UGAGGAAUAUUGGUCAAUGGGCGAGAGCCUGAACCAGCCAAGUAGCGUGCAGGAUGACGGCCCUAUGGGUUGUAAACUGCUUUUAUAUGGGAAUAAAGUGAGGGACGUGUCCCUUAUUGCAUGUACCAUAUGAAUAAGGACCGGCUAAUUCCGUGCCAGCAGCCGCGGUAAUACGGAAGGUCCAGGCGUUAUCCGGAUUUAUUGGGUUUAAAGGGAGCGUAGGCUGUUUGUUAAGCGUGUUGUGAAAUGUAGACGCUCAACGUCUGAAUUGCAGCGCAUACUGGUUUCCUUGAGUACGCACAACGUUGGCGGAAUUCGUCGUGUAGCGGUGAAAUGCUUAGAUAUGACGAAGAACUCCGAUUGCGAAGGCAGCUGACGGGAGCGCAACUGACGCUUAAGCUCGAAGGUGCGGGUAUCAAACAGG
rnacentral:rRNA from 1 species